rnacentral:rRNA from 2 species
UACGUAGGGGGCAAGCGUUGUCCGGAAUCAUUGGGCGUAAAGCGCGUGUAGGCGGCUUCGUCAGUCCGUUGUGAAAGUCCAGGGCUCAACCCUGGAAUGCCGAUGGAUACUGCGGAGCUCGAGUCCGGAAGAGGCAAGUGGAAUUCCUGGUGUAGCGGUGAAAUGCGCAGAUAUCAGGAGGAACACCAAUGGCGAAGGCAGCUUGCUGGGACGGUACUGACGCUGAGACGCGAAAGCGUGGGGAGCAAACAGG